GACGAACGCUGGCGGCGUGCUUAACACAUGCAAGUCGAGCGGUAAGGCCCUUUCGGGGGUACACGAGCGGCGAACGGGUGAGUAAUACGUGGGUGACCUGCCCUCAGCUCUGGGAUAAGCCCGGGAAACUGGGUCUAAUACCGGAUAUGACUUCAUGACGCAUGUUGUGGAGUGGAAAGCCUUGUGCGGCUGAGGAUGGGCCCGCGG
rnacentral:rRNA from 1 species